rnacentral:lncRNA from 1 species
CUCACGUGACUUUCUCGAGCCAGUGAGGGGUAUCUGUCUGACUUCUCGGCGAUUUUUACGAUCUAACUUCGAGAUAAAACCCCUAUCCAUUUGACAUCUAAAUGUCAUAGCGACUUUUGGGAUAGUUUGCUAUCGACAAAGGGAGACAAAGUCAAGGGGUGAAGGGAAAGGAGGGCCAAGUAGAGCCUCCACGACCCUCGGCUUCCUCCUCACCAGCUCCCCCUCCCUCCAAGUCCAGUAAGAAGUUGGGCCAAGCUGGAAGGGAUUGACCGGGUUGCUUGUCUGGAGAUGGAGCCACUACAGGCGGGCCUGGGCGCCUGGAGUCGGGCAUGAAAGAAAAUAGCGCCUCAUCGCUCUUAUCUAAGCCCAGAGGUCCAGGGGACAACCUGAGGGCCCUGAAGUGUUUCAAUACCAUGUACCAGCUUGACUUCUCUACAUGUCCUUUGGAUUGCCCAAAAGCAAAAUCUCAGAGGGGCCAAGGACCUUCUAGGGCUGGCUCCCUCAGGGCCUCCUAUAGAGCAGCUCCUUGAGUCGGGCCUUAUAGCCACCAGAAAGUCACCUCGCCGCAGGAAAGCUAUAAAGAGCUGCUCCAGAGGCGCCGAAAGAGGGUAGACUUCGCUUGAAAAGAUCGAGAAUGGAGGAGGGGAUCGGCACUCACUUGCAGACAUCAACAGUUUCCAGAAAAUUCGGUUCAAUUCCUUCACCACGGACCCACCAACCAAGGAGCUGGCAAAACCCACUAACCAACCAGGAGAACACAGACCCGGUUUGUCUUUUGACAACCGAGUGGAACUGACGGGGCCGGCGCCUGCCCUGCGGGUCCCCUCCCUUGGCUGAGAAGAAAACCAAAUAAACCUUGAACAGCCUUGGCUUCGGAUGUCUCAAGCGGCCUCAUCCUCUCCCGCGCCUUGCCGUUUCCUCUCCCUCGCCGGCCUCGGCGGAGAUUCCAGGCCCUAUAGAAACCAGGACGUCCCUUAGCGCCACCGCCUCACAUGCCAGUGCUGCCGGGAACCCAGCGAUAUCCGCACCAGCGGAGAAGGUUCCAGGCUGCCGGCGGCGGCGCAGAGAGCGGGAAGAGAGGCUCGGAGGAAGCCCCGGGCGUGGCGUGGUCAGGCUCCGAGAGCGGCCGGGAUGCGGCCACACCGGCCUGGUAAACUCGCACCUCUUAGGAUCUUGCUCCCGGACUCAUUCCCUUCCCCACCCCCUAUUUUAAAGUUUUAUUUGGGUCGUCUGUAUCAAUUUAGAACGAGAUAAAUUAAGACAAAGAAAGUAAAAUAAAUCGAAAUAAAAUAUAGGAAUAGCUCUUGGCGAAAAUGUUUGCCGUGCGAGCAGGAAGCCGUGAGCGCCCUAGUUGGAGGCUGCUCUGCGCCGACUAAGAGGCCUCUACUCCCAGGCCUGGCCUCUACGCAACGCCACCCAAGAAGCCAGAGUGAAUUUGGGUGUUCAUUUUCCCUUUCCUUCCGCUCUUCCUUCAUGUGGGGCCUAGCAGCUUGGAUUUCAGCUCCGUCUUUGUGCCUGGGCUGCAGCCCAGAUCCAGAUCCCGCAGCUUGGUUUCCAGGCCUGAAUGAGGACGCGGGUUUGUGAAACUGUGAGGUUUUUGUUUUGUUGUUUUGUGAGCUUGUGUGACUAAGCAUGUGGGCUUCUGAGUGCGUUUACUUGGGGGCAAAUGUGAAUCUGUGUUUAUAAGCCAAUGUGUGAAUGUACGUUGGUAUCAAUGUGUCUGUGAGUGUGAAUGUGUGUUUACUUGUGAGCGUGUGUGAACAUGAAUGCCUA